rnacentral:lncRNA from 1 species
AGGCUUUCCUACAAUGCAGCCUCUAACAAAACUAGACUUUCCCAAACUUCUGAUAAUAGAAUUGCUUACCUUUAUACCAAGAAGGCUGGGAAGACACCCAUAUCUGCAUGUGACCUGUGCCCAGGCAAAUGGAGGGAUUUGCGCUGUGAGACCAAAGUUCUUAGGAGAUUGUCUAGAAUGAAAAAAGUCAGCAAGGCUGAUGGUGGUCCCAUGAGUGCCAAAUGUGUCUGUGACCGGACCAAGUGUGCUUUCCUUAUUGAGGAGCAGAAAGUUGUUGGGAACAUGCUGAAGGCACAAAUACAGAACCAGAGAACUAAA